AACAGGCCAUUUAGCUUAGAGAUUUCUUUUUAGAGUUAACGUCACUUAAACAAUACACUAAUGCUCAAUUUUGGGGUCAGUAAGAUAAAAAAAAAAACGAACAAUUUUAUUAAAUUGAUCAAAUUGAUCAAAAGUGACAGUAAAACAUUUAUACUGUUACAAAAAAUUUGUUCAUGAACUUUCUAUUCAUCAACAAUCUUAUUUCCACAAAAAUAUUAAGCAGUUUUAAAAGAUAAAAAAAAAAAUAAAUAAAUAAACUGUUUUCAACAUUGGAAAUAAUAAUAAAUGUUUCUUGAGCAUGAAAUCAUCAUAUUAGAAUGAUUUCUGAAGGAUCAUGUGACACUAAAGACUGGAGUAAUGAUGCAGAAAAUUCAGCUAUGCCAUCACAGGAAUAAAUUAGAUUUUAAAGAGGACCUAUUAUGCAAAAUUCACUGUUAUAAGGUGUUUGAACACUGAUGUGUGUCCACAGUGUGUGUAAACAACCAGCCUAUAAUCGUAAAAAUCCACCCACUCCUUAUUUUAUAAUUUUAUAAUCAACUUUCCUCCACAAUAAUUACAGAAAUUUAUCCAUUAACCAUUCAGAAACGUCCAGUUGCAUUCUAAAAGUUGUGUCCAAAUGUGUUUGAACAAUGUAAGACUGAACACCGCUACUGACAAUUUCUGGAGUUUUGGCUGCGUGAGAUUCUCCAGUUUUGUUGUUGAGUAUCUGAAGUUUGAGCUGUUAAAGCUCAGCCCUCUUCUGGAAAGGGAUCUGAUAGCAGCAGUUCAUUUGCAUUUAAAGAGACACACACAAAAUGGCGUGAUUUUGCUCACACCCAAAUAGGGUGUAAAUUUGACAAACUAUAAUAAAUGAUCUGUGGGGUAUUUUGAGUGGAAAUGUCACAGACACAUUCUGGGGACACCAGAGACUUAUAUUACAUCUUGUGAAAAGGGGCAUAAUAGGUCCCCUUUAAAAUUAGGGCUGGACGAUUAAUUGAAAAGUAAUCGAAACCGAAAUUCAGAACCUUUAACCGAUGUAAAUUUUCCCAUGUCGGUUAUUUCGUUUUUUUAAUCCUAUUAAUACUUCCCACUUAAAAACAUACUACCGUGUGUGUAGCCACGUGACUCCGCCCCGUCCAGUCAACAUGCAGGUGAACGCAGAGUCAACACAGAGACGGUGCAUGAGCGGUAAGCCUUGCGUCUUCACUAAACUUUGUCAGUUGUAUGUGUUUUAAAGUUUGCCAGUUUAGACAUUCAAGCGAUUUUAGACGAUUGGAUGUAUACCAUUUCGAGCUACCGUGCUCGCGCAGCUGCAUUGUGGCACGAACACUCAUACAAACAGUGGCUGCACAAAACGUGAAGAUCACACACAGAGAGGAACACAGAAACUAGUUGUCAGCGCUGUCCUGUGAUUUAUCACUAAAGAAGCUUAGAAACUCAAAACUUAUUAUAGCAUAUAUUUUUCUACUUUUGAAGGAACUAUUUACAACCCACAGCUUCACAAUUAAUAGAGAGACAGUAUGACUAAUUCACACACGCAAUCGCUCUCAUUACGUACUGGUACUGUGCUAAUUUAUCUUUAUCUGAUUUACAACGAGCAGAAAUCUGUAAGAAAUGUUACGAACCAUAGAUAAAAUAACUGCUGAAAGUGAGCUGUUAUGUCAGAUCACUCUUUCAAAAGGAAAAAAUAUCCCAACUUUAAUAGUCAAGUAAAUUUACAAUACAAACCUUGUAAGUGAACUAUGAGGGCAAAAAAAACAAAAAAACAACAAACAAAAUAAUCAUUCAUUAAUCAUAAUCGAGGUGAAAUGUUCAAUUAAUCGAGGUUUUGAUUUUAGGCCAUAAUUGUCCAGCCAAAAAGAAAAAAAAGAAAACUGUUGUUUAAAAUUACAUUUGUACUUUCAUAUUACCAUUUUUACUGUUUUUUUUUUUAAUCAAAUAAAUGCAGCCUUGGUGAGUUUAAGUGACUUAUUUCAAAAUCAUUAAAAAACAUCAUACCGACCCCAAACUUUUGAACAGUAGUAUAUCUAUAAAUAUAUAUCAUGAUCCCUAAUUGCACAAUAUUAACAAAAUGAGCUCUUGAAAAUGAGAUUAUGUCAGUCUGAUUCAUUGUGCUGACGUAAACAUAUCUGGACCAUUAAGGUUAGGGUAGCACAUGACCAUUAGCUGUCCAUUAGUUUUUCACUUUAGGGCAUUCUCCGUGGCAGCUAAUGCACACUAUGCACAUUUCUGGAUAGUGAAACAUUUUGACAGGCGCCUGCUAAAACAGGACUUCCUGACAGAGCUUCUAGUCCAUGUUGGUAAGAAACAAAGAACUUAUUCUGGCACAGGGGAGGAAGAUAUUUUGGGUACAAGCAUAGGUGGCACUAGAAAUGGCACUGGACCACAAUUAGCAAUGCAAGGCAUUCUGGCACACUGGAUGUCUAUUGAGUUCUUAGAAAUCUCAACCCGUUCCAUCCAGUCACCUGUCAUAUGGAUAAAAACAAAGACUGCCCUACAUUUGUUUUCAUACAAUAUCAUGUUUCAUUAGGAAAUGCCACAUUAAGAAAGCAAAAAUGUAAAAAACAAAAUAAAACAAAGUCCUUCUCAAUGAGCACUAGUGAUUAAUGGCAUAAGAUUAAGCUUAUUCAAGACAAACUAGUUUAGCAUACAAACUACUGCUGCCAACAAUGCUGUUUCUAUUCUAGUGCAGCAAAGACGGAAGAGGCUGUUAAGGCUGCAGCAGAUAAAAACAAACAUCUGCUGAACAUCAAACAGUGAACCGAAGGCCCAUGAUAGAGCAAAACCGAAGAGAAACAUCACAGAGUGCUUAAUAACACCUGUUGAGCGAAAAAUAGGAGGCUGAGAUGAAGGUGAAGAUGACAUUAUAUGAGAAUAAAUAAAUAAUUAAGUUUGGAUCACAAACUUUUACAAUUAUAUGGAGGUUGUUGUCAGGUUUGAUGUCCUUUUUUCAUCCUUCUUUUGUUCUUACACUGUCUACUGUACAGACAGUAGUGUCUGAGCUCUGCAAGGCUUAACAUCUGAAAGAUUCAUUCAGACAGGCCUCUGGAGAAGAAAAUGAAAAGAAAGAAAAAAGUAGAGUGGGAUGAAAGGAAGAGGGGGAAGGUGAGGUCAAGACCACAAAAAUAACAAAAGCAUAAGGAAAAAGGUCAAUGGAUAAACAAGAGACCUCAUCAGAUAGACAAGGAGGAGAAAGGUAAAAAAAAAAAAAAAAAAAAAAAACACAAGCAGCACAGGGUCUAUCACUGUAUAUUUAAAUGGGCCGGUCUGAGGAUGUUGGAACUUAUUCCCUUCAACCAGCCCACUGGGAAAAUACUAUUGCUCUCUUUAGCAAUUCCACCCUACUGGUGGUACCUGCUUUAUCACUACUAUACUCAAGACAUUUCUUUCCUAGUUUCCAAAAAAAUAUAUAUGUGUGCAAUUAGUGUUUUAAAGGUAAAUCAACUAAAAAAAUAUUACUGAACGGACACUAAAAAAAAGAAAAAAAAAAAAAAAGAAACUGUCAUCAUCACAAGAAAAAAAGAAAAAUAAAGAGCUGUGAAAAAGCAGCCACAUGAACACAAAAAGACUGAGGCAAUUACUGACAUUUUUGUGUUCAGUCUGAAAAUCACCAAAUGGAAAAAACACACUUUAACAUUAGAUCUUUCUAUUCGUUAUGCUUCCUUAAAACUCUAACCUACUCCCUUUUCUUAUGAAACUGGGUAAGUAUCAAAUGUAAUCCUUCAAACAGUAUUAGCAACAAUUUCUCAAUUUAAUAUAAUAUCUUGUGACAUAACUGUCCAUAUUUGAAACAGUCCAAACUGACCCUCUCCUGCUCUUGUUCUCGUCCCUCAGCCCCCACCCUCUGCUCUGGCUUUGUGACCGCGAAUUCUGGCAUGGUGACAGAUAUGCUGACAUCACCACAUGUUCACACCCAUCCACAUGCACACGCAAUACAAUCCCAGCACAGAGGGUAGGACAAAGGAUCUGAGUUUCGCUCAGUAGGAAACUAAGGCCUGUUCCAUUGUUCCCUAUUGAGCAAAAUCCCUUAUGCACAAAAAACAAUGGCAGGUAUAAAACUAACAAACAAAAAAUAUCACGUUGUGACAGAUAACAAAAGGUAAACAAUUGCCUUGCCGGAUAUUCGGGAGAUGAGGAUAGGCACGCAGGCAAACUAUUUUUGACCAUGGAUCCUCUGCAGCAGACUUGGGAACUUAAGGAUUUGCAUAAAUUUAGCAGUUUUCAUAUUUUGGUAUAAAUGAUGAAAAUAACUGGGGUAAUAAUGUAUGCAGGCAUCCAGAGAUAAUUGUGUAAUCAUAAAAAGAAUGACAUAUGCGAUAUAUACGCUCAUUAAUUAACUAUUUAUAUAACCUCCUGAUUGUUUGGCUGCUGUCAAAUAAUAAAAAUCCUCAUAUAAACUCAUCCUCAUAUAAAACUCACAUAUAAACAUUGAUCAGCCAACAUAAACAGCUCAACCGAACCUGAAUGACGCGCAAGGACAAACCUCUUCUGGAAGCUCAAACGUGCUGCGUAACACACGAGAACAAACCUCAUUCAAUCUGUUCAUCAUAUAAAGCGAUCGAGUCUCUUCAGAAAAUUUGGACUAAACCACUCGAUUCAUUUGGAUUCAUUUUACGAAUCUCUUUAUGAACUUUUUGAAGCGUCAAAGUUUUAGUUGUGAAGGCAGUCUAUGGAGGGACAGAAUGCUGUCAGAUUUCAUCAAAAAGAUCUUCAUUUGUGUUCUGAAGAUGAACGAAAGUCUUAUGGGUUUGGAAUGACAGACAGGAGAUUGGCAAGUGAUGAAAACAAAAACAGAUACCACAGUAAAGAUGAUCAAAACCCAAUGCUCAUCUCUCUUCAGCUGGACUACACUCCCCACCAGACAAGCCUCCCACAGCCUCGUCCACUAACACAAUGAUAACAAUGCAUCAAGCUGAGAGGCGGUGGACAGGAGGCUCUGUGAGCUCUUGACAUUGAACCGGACUCUGGCAUUGAAGAUGAAGAAAGAGCCUGGCGACCUGAAUGCAGAAAGCUCCAGCGCAUACAGACCAACAUUUCAGGAUAUUUCAGAGAUGCAGGUGAUUUUGAGGGUAAAUCAAAAUUUCACAAGACACCUACGCAACUGUCCUGUCCUGACACAUGGAUGGCUCCACUUGAUUUUCAGCGGAGACGGCUGUAUACCCUUAAAAGAGCUUUCAACUGUCAACAUCCAAGCUAGUAGUGAUAUCCGCGUCAGUUCUUUGAUUUGUACUCCACCUGGAAAACAGGUCUUACCAAGUCAGCUGGAUAACUCACCCUCCACAGCCUGCAUCCACAGGGAUACUGUACUUCAAGGUACACCAGAACACAGGACACUCAUCCAUUUUCCAAUAUUAUUCUGAUAUCUCUAUAUCCUCCCCUCUGUUUCUUCAUAUGGAAUCUCAGAAAGGAUCUUUGCAUGCCUCUCUGAUAUGAUUAACUCAAGACUGAGCUCUGAUUCCUUUAUAGCCAGGAUGUCCUUUAUAUUUCCGCCAGAGGUCACACAGUCAAUGCAGUUAUUUCAAAGCUCACCUUCAUUGACCACAUUACGACAACUGCCAGUUUCUAUCACUUUAUGCUCCAUAACAUAAAGAAAAUGAGGCCAACUAUAAACAUUUCAUGGCUACAUUAACCAGACUAAUAGAAUACAUCAAUAUCUUAAGUAGCUAACAUAGAAAGUCAAUCUUAUAGGGAGUUUAAAAAAUGUAAAAAGAAAUAUUUUUCAAGUUUUAAAUAGAUCAAUAUACAUUUUAGAUACACAUAUAAAUGUAUGUGGAAGCUUUUUAUGUCAGUGUAUCUACCCUUUAAAGUAGCUAUAUUUUAGAUACACUAAAAAAACAUUUUUUUUUAUUAUUAUUCUUGUGAAAAUGUAUUUUAAUCAUAUUUUUUUCUACAUACUUCAAUUUUAAAUAUACAUUUAAUGUAUUUAUUAUCAGUAUAUUUUCUUGAUACAUUUUUUCAUAGUUGAAAAACUUUAAAACUGUUUGGCCAUAUGGGCUUGAGUAUUCUCAAGUAUCUAUCCUGGCAAUUAACGUGAUUUAUGCAUAUUUUAUGUGACCCUGGAUCACAAAACCAGUCAUAAGUCGCACGGGUAUAUUUGUAGCAAUAGCCAACAAUACUUUGUAUUGGUAAAAAUGAUCGAUUUUUCUUUUAUGCCAAAAAUCAUUAGGAUAUUAAGUAAAGAUCAUGUUCCAUGAAGAUAUUUUGUAAAUUUCCUACCGUAAGUGGAUAUGCAUUGCUAAGGACUUAAUUUGGACAACUUUAAAGGCAAUUUUCUCAAUAUUUACACUACCGGUCAAAAGUUUGGAAACAUUACUAUUUUUAAUGUUUUUGAACGAAGUCUCUUAUGCUCAUUAAGGCUGCAUUUAUUUCAUAAUAAAUACAGAAAAAACAAUAAUAUUGUGAAAUAUUAUUACAAUUUAAAAUUAUGGUUUUCUAUUUUAAUAUACUUUAAAAUAUAAUUUAUUUCUGUAAUGCAAAGCUGAAUUUUCAGCAUCAUUACUCCAGUCUUCAGUGUCACAUGAUCCUUCAGAAAUCAUUCUAAUAUGCUGAUUUGAUAAUCAGUUAUUAUCAAUGUUGAAAACAGUUGUGUUGCUUAAUAUUUUUUUAGAACCUGUGAUACUUUUUUUCAGGAUUCAUUGAUGAAUAAAAGGUUAAAAAGAACAGCAUUUAUUCAAAAUAUAAAUCUUUUCUAACAAUAUAAAUCUUUACUAUCACUUCUUAUCAAUUUAACACAUCCGUGCUGAAUAAAAGUAUUAAUUUCUUUAAAAAAAAAAAAAAAAGAAAGAAAAAAAAAUUACUGACCUCAAACUUUUGAACGGUAGUGUAUAUUGUUACAAAAGAUUUUAUUUUAAAUAAAUGCUGAUAUUUUUUA